UAACAUCUGAUUUGAACUAACUUUUAUAAAAGACGGGGCAAGGUUGGGUCAAAUUAUAGAUAUCAUGAUUGUUCAAGAUUGUAUCUUCAUCUUCCAUGUUGUGACCUAAUCCAACCCCAAAUUAACCAAUGACCAAAAUUGAUGACUCUUUUGGCUUGACCCUUCCAAUAUUAAUCAACCUAAGUCCCAUGGGCAUUAGUGUGUGUGAAAUUAAUUCUGGUUGCCAAAACUAACCUAUGAUACUACCAUAUCAGAAUGUCAUAUAUGAAUUAUGGCAAUUAAUCUAAUCAUUUUAGGACAUCUAGCAAGUCAACUGAGCUUGAGCUCCAUGGUUGCACUUUCUUGUUUGGAGCUGAGAGGUCAAAGACUCGGUCUUGAGCAGUAUUAUUUCUCAAAAUAUUCAACCUUUCUAAAAUUUUUUAAGCAAAAAAAAAAAAUCAUAGAUUUGCAAGUACCUUAUUCUUCUCCUACAGCAAGACUUCUCUCACUUAUCUGAAAAAUAGAAAACGAAAAGGAGAAAAUAGUCUGGCAAUCAUUAAUAAAUGGCCCUCUUGUCAAGGUUUUAACUAAUGUAUUAUGGUAUUAGACUGGAGCCUCACUCAAACCGCAAUUGGCCGGUAUAAGGUCAUCAUGAUGGUUAUGUGCCUCAAACACUAGGAUUUCAAAUUUUUAAUAUUUAAUAAUAAUUAUAGUCAUUCUAACAAUAUUUUAAUGAACAACGAUGGGAAAAUAACUACAUCUUUUUCUUCACUUUUCAAAAAUGUAUUAUUUCUAGAUCAUGCAACAACUUUUAGAGAAAGCUUUAAUAUAAAAUUUAAACGAUAAAAUUUAAAUUAGAAAAAAGUACAAGUACAUAAUGCUAGCAUUAUUUAAAUAUAAUAGAUUGUUAUGAAUAUUAAUCAUGCAUUACCGUAAUAGUUAUUUUUUUGCACAUUAUUACACAUAUAAUAUAAUGGGUGGUGAUGGAAACUUUUCUAAUAAUUGUAACACCAUUAUUUAAAACCUUGCUCUCUUAAGACAUGAAAGAGUAAUUAUAGGCAUGGCAUGGUAAAAUAUUAUUUACUAUUUGAAAAUUAUUAAGUACUUUCCUUCAAUAAUCAACAAGGUUGGAUUUUGUAUGCCACUAAAUUUAAAGAAAUAUGAAUUUUUAAUUUUAAAGAUAAAAGAUCAAAAAAUAAAUAAAUAAAGCAAAGUUUGAUUAAAUGAUUGGUCCAUGCAUCCCUACAUCUAGUUUAAAAUAUACGACUCCGCUAGGCUCUCCAC
rnacentral:lncRNA from 1 species